GAUCCUGGCUCAGGAUGAACGCUAGCUACAGGCUUAACACAUGCAAGUCGAGGGGAAACGACAUCGAAAGCUUGCUUUUGAUGGGCGUCGACCGGCGCACGGGUGAGUAACGCGUAUCCAACCUGCCCACCACUUGGGGAUAACCUUGCGAAAGUAAGACUAAUACCCAAUGAUAUCUCUAGAAGACAUCUGAAAGAGAUUAAAGAUUUAUCGGUGAUGGAUGGGGAUGCGUCUGAUUAGCUUGUUGGCGGGGUAACGGCCCACCAAGGCGACGAUCAGUAGGGGUUCUGAGAGGAAGGUCCCCCACAUUGGAACUGAGACACGGUCCAAACUCCUACGGGAGGCAGCAGUGAGGAAUAUUGGUCAAUGGGCGAGAGCCUGAACCAGCCAAGUAGCGUGCAGGAUGACGGCCCUAUGGGUUGUAAACUGCUUUUAUAAGGGAAUAAAGUGAGUCUCGUGAGACUUUUUGCAUGUACCUUAUGAAUAAGGACCGGCUAAUUCCGUG
rnacentral:rRNA from 1 species